AUUGAACGCUGGCGGCAUGCCUUACACAUGCAAGUCGAACGGCAGCACGGGAGCAAUCCUGGUGGCGAGUGGCGAACGGGUGAGUAAUAUAUCGGAACGUGCCCAGUCGUGGGGGAUAACGCAGCGAAAGCUGUGCUAAUACCGCAUACGAUCUAAGGAUGAAAGCGGGGGAUCGCAAGACCUCGCGCGAUUGGAGCGGCCGAGAUCAGAUUAGCUAGUUGGUGGGGGAAAGGCCCACCAAGGCGACGAUCUGUAGCUGGUCUGAGAGGACGACCAGCCACACUGGAACUGAGACACGGUCCAGACUCCUACGGGAGGCAGCAGUGGGGAAUUUUGGACAAUGGGCGCAAGCCUGAUCCAGCAAUGCCGCGUGCAGGAUGAAGGCCUUCGGGUUGUAAACUGCUUUUGUACGGAACGAAACGGCCCUUUCUAAUACAGGGGGCUAAUGACGGUACCGUAAGAAUAAGCACCGGCUAACUACGUGCCAGCAGCCGCCGUAAAAC
rnacentral:rRNA from 1 species